rnacentral:rRNA from 1 species
GAUGAACGCUGGCGGCGUGCUUAACACAUGCAAGUCGAACGGAAAGGCCCAAGCUUGCUUGGGUACUCGAGUGGCGAACGGGUGAGUAACACGUGGGUGAUCUGCCCUGCACUUCGGGAUAAGCCUGGGAAACUGGGUCUAAUACCGGAUAGGACCACUUCUUGGAUGUUGUGGUGGAAAGUUUUUUCGGUGUGGGAUGAGCUCGCGGCCUAUCAGCUUGUUGGUGGGGUAAUGGCCUACCAAGGCGUCGACGGGUAGCCGGCCUGAGAGGGUGUACGGCCACAUUGGGACUGAGAUACGGCCCAGACUCCUACGGGAGGCAGCAGUGGGGAAUAUUGCACAAUGGGCGCAAGCCUGAUGCAGCGACGCCGCGUGGGGGAUGACGGCCUUCGGGUUGUAAACUCCUUUCGCUAGGGACGAAGCGUUUUGUGACGGUACCUAGAGAAGAAGCACCGGCUAACUACGUG